rnacentral:pre_miRNA from 1 species
CAACUACUCCCUCUGUCCCAAAUUUCUUGUCUCAGAUUUGUCUAGAUACGGAUGUAUCUAAUACUAAAAUGUGACUUGAUACAUCCGUAUCUAGAAAAAUCUAAGACAAGAAUUUUGGGACGGAGGGAGUACGUU